GGUCCUUAAGGGAAGAGAAUAGAUGCAGGAGUGAAAAUGAGGUUGGGAAACUAGCAUAUUGGACAGUGGGAAAAGUGACUUAGGGAUAUUAUAUUACUCACCAUUCUAACCUUCACUCUGCAAACUACCUCCUGGGGAUGGCCUUCUUUCACGGGGAAGCUGUGUUGAACUUAUACUACCCGGGGCUCCAGUCUGCAACAAAUCUAGUACAGAAUCCAUGUCCUUCAUCCUCCAGUUCAUCACCUGGUGAUCAGCAGCCUUCUGGUGAUAAAUAUCUUCAAAAAGGCAGUGAGGUGGCACACUGAAGAGAGCGCUGAGCCUGUAGGAAGACCUGGAUUUACAUCAGUACUAGCUGAGUGUUCCUGAGGCCACUCACAACCAUUUUUUACUUCAGUUUCCUCAUCUGUAAAAUGGGAAUAAUAAUAACUCCUACCUCCCAGAAUGAUUGUAUGGAUCAAAUGAGAUAAUAUUUGCAAAGCAUUGAGUAGAGUCUGACAUAUAAUAGGUUCUACAUAAAUGCAUAUUUCCUUCACCUUUUUUCCACUUUAUCUUCUUUUAAUAAUUUUAUUUUGGAUAAUAAUCUGUAAUAAGAUUGAAUAUUCAUUUUAUUGGAAGCUGAACAAACAUUGAUUAAACACCUAUUUACAUGUCAA
rnacentral:lncRNA from 1 species